UUGAAACUAAAUUUUAGAGUCGUGUUUGGGUUCUGAGAUCAGUCUUGUCACAUUCCUCUCUUUCAGAAUUCACAAUCAUCAAGUGUGGCUUCAGUUGUCAGACUUCAACAUAUUUCCAUUGCUGCUAUUGUGCAGAAACAAUUAUCAAUAGAUCACAGUUUUUAAGACACUUAGAAAAACCCCAGGAGGAGAAGCAUAACGAACAAACAAAGGCCCCCACUCAGCACUUUGCAGCCCCUGUAUAGAACCCACGGGCCUCCACUCAGCACCCAGCAGAAAGAAAACUCCAGUUGAGAGGUCAUGUGAUGAGUUAUUAUGUAGUCAAACUAUUACUUGAAGACAAAAGCCUAACCUCUCCACUUAUUUCAGGAUGUGGAAGAGGUCCCACUGAAAAGGUUCAGCCAUUCAGAAUCUGUCUCUGAAGCAUCAGUGGAGGCUGAUAACGUGCCAGGACUGGGAACAGGGAGGGAGGAGGAUGCACUGCUUCGGGACACCAUAGAGGCAGCAAAGUGGUGUACCAGACAAACAUUAAAGGGGAAACUUUCCCUUCCCCAAGUCAUCUCAAUGGACCAGAAAGGUCACUUGAGGGCGGUGGAACGCCUCAGAAUGUCCGAAGGCCUUGAAGGGGUCCGGGAGCCAUUUAUCUUCCUGUUCAGUCUGCAGGAAGACCAUGAGGCAUUCUGCAGUAAAAUUAUGGACACCACUACUGUCUAUGUCUUUUGUUUCCUGUUUUGCUCCUGUUUUAUUUUGAAGUUCAGUGUUAGUGUUCAGUGUUCAGUGUGUUCAACUAAGACAGGAAUAAAAUAUAUGCACUAAAUGUAACACCUGAACAUAUCCCAGUGUAUAUAUUUUUCUUUUUUUUUAAUUAUAAAAAUAAAUAAUAUUAUUUAAUAUUUAAAUAAUAUAUAUAUAUUAAAUAAUAUUAUAUAUAAUAUAAUGGGAGGCGUGGUUCGAUGUGGGCGUGGCUCAACGUUGAGGCACGUCACGAUCUGCGGGCUGCAGUCAGGGGUUCUUGGGGGUGUGGCACUGGUGAGGUCAUGACUUAUGACAUCAUCUGUGACAUCCGAAAAGUCUAUAAAUAGGAACCAGUUCGCUGAUAUUUGCCAGCCAGCGAAUUUUUGCU